CCGUCUGCGCACGCUUUACGCCCAAUAAAUCCGGAUAACGCUUGCCACCUAUGUAUUACCGCGGCUGCUGGCACAUAGUUAGCCGUGGCUUUCUGGUAAGGUACCGUCAAAUAAGUAACAUUUCAUAUACUUACUAUUCUUCCCUUACGACAGACCUUUACAAUCCGAAGACCGUCUUCAGUCACGCGGCAUUGCUCCAUCAGGCUUUCGCCCAUUGUGUAAAAUUCCCUACUGCUGCCUCCCGUAGGAGUUCGGGCCGUGUCUCAGUCCCGAUGUGGCCGUUCAACCUCUCAGUUCGGCUACGUAUCACUGUCUUGGUAGGCCAUUACCCCACCAACUAACUAAUACGCCGCACCCUCAUCCAUUAGUGGUCCAAACGGACCUUUUAACAUUCUCUGAUGCCAGAAAAUGUCGU
rnacentral:rRNA from 1 species